CUUGUGAGCGCGCGCAGGUCUGAUGCUGUUAAAAGGGAGUAAUGGAGGCCUGAGCCAUUGAUAUGCAGACUAAUGCAGUUACUGGAGAGAAAUAAAAGACCUCAGGAACCCAUUUGAAUGAGGUGCUGACACUACCAUGUGGAGUGGACGGAGAGACACUAAUAAGAGCACAGCUGGCAUCUGGGCCGUAGUCUCUCAGAGCCUGGAACCCCAUGCAUAAAUAAACACAGAGGCAUUAAUUUUCACAAUUUAUAGAUUUUUAAGUAAAAGCCCAAUGUUCUUCCUGAA